CAAUUUUUCAAUCAAAUAUCUUUGUUUUAAAUGACACUUGUUCAUUCUGUGCAUAUUUUGUGACUACAAAUUUAUUUAAAAAGUACAAAAUCAAAUUAUUUCGAUUGCUACUUCGAAAUUUCAUAUGUGUUUUUAUUCCCGCCCUGAAAACCAACUUUGCUCCCCUAAUUUACCCUAAUUUGGCCAAACAAUUGGAAGUGCUUAUCCCGCAGAUCGCAGUCGAGUUCCAUUUGCUCACAUGCAAUAUUAGUUUGGCGGCGGUCGGCAAAUCCCAUUUCCUGGGCUUGACCUCAUCGACCGCGAUUUGUAUCUAAAACGCGAAACGACCAAUGUGGCCUAUUGUUGGCCACCUUCUGCCCACCAUUGUUGACCUAAGCCCUCUGCCCAGGCACACAUGUCUACUCUAUUGUUGUGGAUUAUGGUCGGCGGCGGUGGUUAUGCACUGGAAUAAAAUCUUAAACUUCCUUAAAAUUACUUUCAUAUUAAGUAGAAUAAAGUUACACUAAAUUUACAAAAAUAAAAA